rnacentral:sRNA from 1 species
UUCUUGCAUGAGGGAUGGAAGCGGCAUCCUUUUAUGAAAUGCAAUGGAAUAAAAGAUAUAGCGUACAGCCCGACCGAGC